GGGGCUGUACCUCAGUGGUAGAAUAUCUGUCUUGCAUGCAGAAGGUCCUAGGUCCAAGCCCUGGUAUCUCCA